UACGUAGGGUGCGAGCGUUGUCCGGAAUUAUUGGGCGUAAAGAGCUCGUAGGCGGUUUGUCGCGUCGGCCGUGAAAACUUGGAGCUUAACCCCAAGCUUGCGGUCGAUACGGGCAGACUUGAGUUCGGCAGGGGAGACUGGAAUUCCUGGUGUAGCGGUGAAAUGCGCAGAUAUCAGGAGGAACACCGGUGGCGAAGGCGGGUCUCUGGGCCGAUACUGACGCUGAGGAGCGAAAGCGUGGGGAGCGAACAGG
rnacentral:rRNA from 1 species